UUCUUUCUUCAGCUGUGGAAGAGACAGGCGGUGACUCCUGGAAGUAUAGUUUGCGGCCGUGCACAGAAGUGCUUUUCUUGGACAUUUUCCACAACUACAGUCAAACUUUGACACCGGUACUUCUAGAGAUGGUGCAGAAUCUUCAAGGCCCCAGUAAUGUGGAGGACCCCGUGCAGAUGCUCAUGAAGGAUGCAGGUACCA